rnacentral:siRNA from 1 species
UGGCGAUGGUUUACUUGAUUUC